rnacentral:misc_RNA from 1 species
GAUCAUUACCGAGUUAUUCAACUCAUCAACCCUGUGAACUUACCUAAACGUUGCUUCGGCGGGAAUAGACGGCCCUGUAAAACGGGCCGCCCCCGCCAGAGGACCCUUAACUCUGUUUCUUAUAAUGUUUCUUCUGAGUAAAACAAGCAAAUAAAUUAAAACUUUCAACAACGGAUCUCUUGGCUCUGGCAUCGAUGAAGAACGCAGCGAAAUGCGAUAAGUAAUGUGAAUUGCAGAAUUCAGUGAAUCAUCGAAUCUUUGAACGCACAUUGCGCCCGCCAGUAUUCUGGCGGGCAUGCCUGUUCGAGCGUCAUUACAACCCUCAGGCCCCCGGGCCUGGCGUUGGGGAUCGGCGGAGCGCCCCUCGUGGGCGCACGCCGUCCCCCAAAUACAGUGGCGGUCCCGCCGCAGCUUCCAUCGCGUAGUAGCUAACACCUCGCGACUGGAGAGCGGCGCGGCCACGCCGUAAAACACCCCAACUCUUCUGAAGUUGACCUCGAAUCAGGUAGGAAUACCCGCUGAACUUAAGCAUAUCAAUAA